rnacentral:rRNA from 1 species
UACGUAGGGUGCGAGCGUUGUCCGGAAUUAUUGGGCGUAAAGGGCUCGUAGGCGGUUUGUCGCGUCGGGAGUGAAAACCCAGGGCUUAACUCUGGGCUUGCUUUCGAUACGGGCAGACUAGAGGUAUGCAGGGGAGAACGGAAUUCCUGGUGUAGCGGUGAAAUGCGCAGAUAUCAGGGGGAACACCGGUGGCGAAGGCGGUUCUCUGGGCAUUACCUGACGCUGAGGAGCGAAAGUGUGGGGAGCGAACAGG